UGUCAGUUAUAUGGAGUUCACCAUUACCUGGUUUUCGUAUUACCAGGAAUGAAUACUCAAACAGAAAAGAAAAGAAAAUGAAAGAUAAGAGAAAAGAGAAGAAGAUAUAAAAGCAGAAAGGAGAAAGCAGAAAGGAAAAAAGUAGAAGGUACAAGGGGUACCGAAUCUGACAGCAUAAGCCAUCAAAACCAAAACGAAGAAAAAGUAGACAUGAUGUGCAUGAGCCCCAAGUAACUCAUUCUUCGCUUUCCUUUAUCUGGCCUCCAUUGUGGCAGAUUUGAUUGUGUGGUAUGGAACACCAGAAGAUUGUAUUCACUGUGACAGAGAAUUGGGGCACAAAAGCAGCAUCAGCCUUCAGGGUAAG